rnacentral:rRNA from 1 species
CCUACGGGUGGCAGCAGUGGGGAAUAUUGCGCAAUGGGGGAAACCCUGACGCAGCGACGCCGCGUGAGCGAAGAAGGCCUUAGGGUUGUAAAGCUCUGUUUUAGGGGACGAAUGUUCAUAGGAGUAAUAUGCCUGUGAAAUGACGGUACCCUAAGAGGAAGCCCCGGCUAACUACGUGCCAGCAGCCGCGGUAAGACGUAGGGGGCGGGCGUUGUCCGGAAUUACUGGGCGUAAAGAGCACGUAGGCGGGAACCUAAGUCAGGUGUGAAAGACCGUGGCUCAACCACGGGGUGGCAUUUGAAACUGGGUUUCUUGAGGGCAGGAGAGGAAAGCAGAAUUCCUGGUGUAGCGGUGAAAUGCGUAGAAAUCAGGAGGAAUACCAGUGGCGAAGGCGGCUUUCUGGACUGACCCUGACGCUGAGGUGCGAAAGCGUGGGUAGCAAACAGGAUUAGAUACCCGGGUAGUC